UGAAAGACAGGGUAGUGAGAUG
rnacentral:miRNA from 1 species